rnacentral:rRNA from 1 species
AUUGAACGCUGGCGGUAGGCUUAACACAUGCAAGUCGAACGGCAGCACGGUACGAGCUUGCGCUUACUGGUGGAGGGGGGCGGACGAUUGCGGAACGCAUCGGGAACUGGUGUAUCACGGGGGGAAAGGUAGGGUAAUACCGGAUAAUACCGCCGGCGACCAACGGGUGACCGCACGGCCUCAUGGGACCUGACCCGACGGUAUCAGCCGACGUCGGAUUAGCUAGUUGGUGGGGUAAAGGCCCACCAAGGCGACGAUCCGUAGCUGGUCUGAGAGGACGACCAGCCACACUGGAACUGAGACACGGUCCAGACUCCUACGGGAGGCAGCAGUGGGGAAUUUUGGACAAUGGGCGCAAGCCUGAUCCAGCAAUGCCGCGUGGGUGAAGAAGGCCUUCGGGUUGUAAAGCUCUUUUGUUAGGGAAGAAACGGUAGAGGCUAAUAUCCUGUGGUAAUGACGGUACCUGAAGAAUAAGCACCGGCUAACUACGUG